rnacentral:rRNA from 1 species
UGGGGAAUCUUGGACAAUGGGCGCAAGCCUGACCCAGCAACGCCGCGUGAAGGAUGAAGUAUUUCGGUAUGUAAACUUCGUAAGAAUAGGAAGAAUAAAUGACGGUACUAUUUGUAAGGUCCGGCUAACUACGUGCCAGCAGCCGCGGUAAUACGUAGGGACCAAGCGUUGUUCGGAUUUACUGGGCGUAAAGGGCGCGUAGGCGGCGUGGUAAGUCAUCUGUGAAAUCUCCGAGCUUAACUCGGAACGGUCAGAUGAUACUGCUGUGCUAGAGUACAGAAAGGGCAAUCGGAAUUCUUGGUGUAGCGGUGAAAUGCGUAGAUAUCAAGAGGAACACCUGAGGCGAAGGCGGGUUGCUAGGCUGAUACUGACGCUGAGGCGCGAAAGCUAGGGUAGCAAACGGGAUUAGAUACCCCAGUAGUCCCUGAGCGGGCUGGCAAGGCGCAU